UAAAACUGUUUUUAACAGGUUCUGGGACGAUCAGCAAGACAAGUAAAGCAGUUGAGAAAGGGACUGAAGGAAACUGGCAUUUGGCCGCUUCUCUCAAAUAGGGCCGAUGUGGUGAAGUUGCUUUUUCCUUGUGAGAGAGAAGCUGAGAUCACACCCCAUAUGAUUCUUGGCCACAUAAAAUGGCCCACAACAAAUCCAGAUUCUGAUGACGAUGAAGAUGGCGUCUCUGCUGAGGCUGUCACUCGAGUCACUGCUUUCUUCAGGACCUUUGUAGAACAUGCAUCUUCAGAGCAAUUGAAAAACCUGCUAUGGUUCUGGAUUGGUUGGGAGGUCCUUCCUGAGGAGCUGAUCGUGAAGUUGGUAAGUGGCCAACUCCCCAGGGCCUUGACUUGCUUCGAGACCAUCAAGUUGCCGGACCAUCACAAACACUACAAAGAUUUUGAGUCGAACUUGUUGUGUGCUAUUGCUACCAGCGAAACAGGGUUUGGUCUUGUGUAAAGGCAAAUUUUAUUUUGGACUUUGGUGUUGCCGUGUUUAAGUAAAAAAAAUUGUGUUUCAACAAAAGAGCUAUACUGGAAAGUUUGCAUUCUUUCAAGACACUUACACAGAGCUAUUCCCCUUUCUUUUUUCUGUUAACUUCUCUGUUUAUUAAAAUUCUAACUCUAAAUCUAACUCUGUUAGUUCCAACUUAUGUAUGGCCAGUGCCUAAAAUGUU